AGCAAGAUGGGAAGGAGGGGCUUGCUCACCAGGCUGGUUGUACACCGUCCCCACAUCCACUCGGAAAGAGCCAAUCAGGAUGCUUCCUAUCAGCUUGUGAUGUAAGACCUAUAAAAGAUGGAGCACCAAGCCUGACUCAUUUGUCCUUGAAGAUAUAUCUGUGAAACGGACUCAAUUCGGCAGAGACUCCUAGGACUUGACCCUUGUCUGGAUUUGACCUUGUCUGGAGCACAGUGGUCAUCAACCCAUAGGGUCCUAAGUGUCUCAUCGGUACCUCUUUCUCUAGCAGCUUUUUCUGUCCCUCUGCUGGAAGGAUGCAUGACACUCUCAGUGCCCGGAAGGUUUCUUUAAUCAAAUGAACCAUGGGCUAUGUGAGGUCAGUUUGGUGACCCGUACCAUGCCCGUUUGAUAAUGGGAGACUCCUGAGCCACUUAUCCAGUGAAAACAAAGGCAAAAACUGAGCUUGAACCUGUCGCCACUGUCUCAGAUGGACCAUGGCGCUCCAUGGCGCAGCAGCUUCAGCCCAAACAUUCCUUUCCUGCAAAGAAAAAACAAAAAACACCUCAUCAAUCCAAUCAUGGAAAUGAAUCAUCACCCCUGCUGGGAAGAAGCAAGCACACAGAGAUGGUACAUCCUCCUGGCUGGCCAGCCCCCUCGUCUACCCAGGGUGGGAGUCAAACGAAGGUGUUGGGAGAGCCUCACCAGUCCCCCAGGUUCUCCUUCUUGUCUAGAAACUACCGCACAUGAUGGGAGACAGGCUGGGGGUUGUGAUCGUGCUAGCCUGGAACCUCUAAUGUCUUCAGGCUUGCCCAUGCCAGGUGCUAGGAUCGACUCUUAAAGAAUGACAUCCUUUGCUAAUGACAGCAAUUGUCUCCUCUCCAAAUUACCGAUGAGAAACCAGAGAGGGUGGCAACAGUUUCUCAGGCCACACAGCUCCUGGAAAUCUGCUUAGUCUCACAAGCCACUAUGACCACCGAGAAACCUGAACCUCCCAAUCCGCUUGGCAACCAUCCCUUGAGCUGGCUCUCACACUGCUUCUAAGGCCGAGAGGCUCCGGUACCUGCUCAGGCCAUGCUGUCAGCACACUGCUCAACUGGUCCAUGGUGUGUGCCCCCAAAUGUGAGCACAGUGGAGGACUUCGAUUGCCUUUCAUUUCACACAGGUUGCUUGGGGCUGCAGAGUGACCCCGGAACAGGGUCCCCACCCCACUACCCUCUCCCCCAAAUGCACACUUCCUGGACCCUGGGCCUGUGCUUCUCAAUGUGGGACUGUUGAGGUGGUGAGUUUCACGGUCAAGGUCACCUACUCCAUAGUCAGCCUGCCCGUCUCUCAUCUCAGCAGCGUCUUCACAACCUAGAACAGCCCCUGAUCUCUCCAACUUCAAGAUCCCCAUAUGGGUCACAAUGUAAUAAAUGGAAAGAAACUGUCAUGAUAUACAA